AAAAUGCGAUAAGUAGUGUGAAUUGCAGAAUUUAGUAAAUCAUCAAAUCUUUAAACGCACAUUGCGCCCUUUAGUAUUCCUUAGAGCAUGCCUGUUUGAGCGUUAUCUAAACCUUUAAGCACUGCUUGGUGUUAGGUGCCUGUCCCGCCCCCGCGCGUAGACUUACCUUAAAUCUAUUAGCGGCCCUUACAUUGGCUUCAAGCGCAGUAGAAACGCAAACUUAAGGCCCGUCAGAGCAGCUCCUAGAAGCUAUAUUCACCAUUUUAACCUCAGAUCAGGUAGGGAUACCUGCUGAACUUAA
rnacentral:misc_RNA from 1 species